rnacentral:rRNA from 1 species
CCCUGGCUCAGGACGAACGCGGCGGCGUGCCUAAUACAUGCAAGUCGAGCGAAUCAACAGGAGCUUGCUCCUGUUGGUUAGCGGCGGACGGGUGAGUAACACGUGGGCAACCUGCCUGUAAGACUGGGAUAACACCGGGAAACCGGUGCUAAUACCGGAUAAUCCUUUUCCUCUCAUGAGGAAAAGCUGAAAGUCGGUUUCGGCUGACACUUACAGAUGGGCCCGCGGCGCAUUAGCUAGUUGGUGAGGUAACGGCUCACCAAGGCGACGAUGCGUAGCCGACCUGAGAGGGUGAUCGGCCACACUGGGACUGAGACACGGCCCAGACUCCUACGGGAGGCAGCAGUAGGGAAUCUUCCACAAUGGACGAAAGUCUGAUGGAGCAACGCCGCGUGAGCGAUGAAGGCCUUCGGGUCGUAAAGCUCUGUUGUUAGGGAAGAACAAGUACCGGAGUAACUGCCGGUACCUUGACGGUACCUAACCAGAAAGCCACGGCUAACUA